GACUCUGGUGGCUGGAGGCGAGUCAACCAGCGAUCAAGCGUCUCGAUAAUCCGUCUGUUCGGCUCGCUCCAACCGAGGCACCGGAGCAGAAUUAGGAGGUCGCCAAAGUUGUGAGUUAAAGUCAUAUAUCGGUUAUGCACAUGUCAUGCAUAAAUCUUGAUUUACUAUUGUGAUUAUUUUAUUACAAAUUUAAUUAUUGAUUUAAUUAUUAUUCAUAUAUAUGAUAUCUUUGAUUAAA